rnacentral:rRNA from 1 species
GAGCGAACAGAGAAGGAGCUUGCUCCUUCGACGUUAGCGGCGGACGGGUGAGUACACGUGGGCAACCUACCUUAUAGUUUGGGAUACUCCGGGAAACCGGGGCUAAUACCGAAUAAUCUAUUUUACUUCAUGGUGAAAUACUGAAAGACGGUUUCGGCUGUCGCUAUAAGAUGGGCCCGCGGCGCAUUAGCUAGUUGGUGAGGUAACGGCUCACCAAGGCGACGAUGCGUAGCCGACCUGAGAGGGUGAUCGGCCACACUGGGACUGAGACACGGCCCAGACUCCUACGGGAGGCAGCAGUAGGGAAUCUUCCACAAUGGGCGAAAGCCUGAUGGAGCAACGCCGCGUGAGUGAAGAAGGUUUUCGGAUCGUAAAACUCUGUUGUAAGGGAAGAACAAGUACAGUAGUAACUGGCUGUACCUUGACGGUACCUUAUUAGAAAGCCACGGCUAACUACGUGCCGGCAGCCGCGGUAAU